rnacentral:tRNA from 2 species
ACGGAUGUAGCUUAGAUGGUAGAGCAUCGGUCUCCAAAACCGAAGGUCGUAAGUUCGAACCUUACCAUCCGUG